AUUGAACGCUGGCGGCAGGCCUAACACAUGCAAGUCGAACGAGUGGCGGACGGGUGAGUAAUGUCUGGGAAACUGCCUGAUGGAGGGGGCUAACUACUGGAAACGGUAGCUAAUACCGCAUACCAUCAGAUGUGCCCAGAUGGGAUUAGCUGGUUGGUGGGGUAACGGCUCACCAAGGCGACGAUCCCUAGCUGGUCCGAGAGGAUGAUCAGCCACACUGGAACUGGUACACGGUCCAGACUCCGACGGGAGGCAGCAGUGGUGAAUAUGGCACAAUGGGCGCAAGCCUGAUGCAGCCAUGCCGCGUGUAUGAAGAAGGCCUUAGGGUUGUAAAGUACUUUCAGCGGGGAGGCGUUACCCGCAGAAGAAGCACCGGCUAACUCCGUGCCAGCAGCCGCGGUAAUUC
rnacentral:rRNA from 1 species